rnacentral:rRNA from 1 species
AAGUCGAGGGGCAGCAUGGGGGAGGUUUCGGCCACCCCCGAUGGCGACCGGCGGAUGGGUGAGUAACGCGUAUCCAACCUGCCCCUGUCCCGGGGACAGCCCUUAAAAAUGAGGAUUAACCCCCGAUGGCGCGGAAAGGCCGCAUGGCUUAUCCGCCAAAUGCGAAGGACAGGGAUGGGGAUGCGUUCCAUUAAGCAGCAGGCGGGGUAACGGCCCACCUGGCCGGCGAUGGAUAGGGGUUCUGAAAGGAAGGUCCCCCACACUGGAACUGAGACACGGUCCAGACUCCUACGGGAGGCAGCAGUGAGGAAUAUUGGUCAAUGGGCGGAAGCCUGAACCAGCCAAGUAGCGUGCGGGAUGAAGGCCCUACGGGUUGUAAACCGCUUUUGCGCGGGGAUAAAGAGAGGCACGUGUGCCUCGUUGCAAGUACCGCGCGAAUAAGGACCGGCUAAUUCCGUGCCAGCAGCCGCGGUAAUACGGAAGGUCCGGGCGUUAUCCGGAUUUAUUGGGUUUAAAGGGAGCGCAGGCGGGAUGUCAAGUCAGCCGUUAAACGGCCCGGCUCAACCGGGUCUUGCGGUUGAAACUGGCGUCCUUGGGUUCACAAAAGGCAGGCGGAACUCGUGGUGUAGCGGUGAAAUGCAUAGAUAUCACGAAGAACCCCGAUUGCGAAGGCAGCCUGCCGGGGUGCUACCGACGCUCAUGCUCGAAGGCGCGGGUAUCAAACAGGAUUAGAUACCCUGGUAGUCCGCGCAGUAAACGAUGGAUGCCCGCGGUGCGGCCUAUAAGGUUACGCCGCCAAGCGAAAGCGUUAAGCAUCCCACCUGGGGAGUACGCCGGCAACGGUGAAACUCAAAGGAAUUGACGGGGGCCCGCACAAGCGGAGGAACAUGUGGUUUAAUUCGAUGAUACGCGAGGAACCUUACCCGGGCUUGAAAUGCGACUGACGGCGGGCAGAGACGCCCGCCUCCUUCGGGCAGUCGUGUAGGUGCUGCAUGGUUGUCGUCAGCUCGUGCCGUGAGGUGUCGGCUCAAGUGCCAUAACGAGCGCAACCCCUGUCAGCAGUUGCGAGCGGGUGAAGCCGCGCA